rfam:Atopostipes suicloacalis DSM 15692 genome assembly, contig: EJ15DRAFT_scaffold00016.16
AUAAUGAUACUCCCGUAUAGCCACAGUCCGAGCGUUAAAAGCGUCGCAGGCAAUGGGUGCGGCUACAUGAGAACCAUGCAGGGGUAAAAUUCCCGUGA